rnacentral:rRNA from 1 species
AAAGGUAAGCUACUAAGAGCGAAUGGUGGAUGCCUUGACUGGUAAAGGCGAUGAAGGACGUACUAGACUGCGAUAAGCUACGGGGAGCUGUCAAGAAGCUUUGAUCCGUAGAUUUCCGAAUGGGGCAACCCAAUGUAUAGAGAUAUACAUUACCUAUAUAGGAGCGAACGAGGGGAAUUGAAACAUCUUAGUACCCUCAGGAAAAGAAAUCAAUAGAGAUUGCGUCAGUAGCGGCGAGCGAAAGCGCAAGAGGGCAAACCCAGUGCUUGCACUGGGGGUUGUAGGACUGCAAUGUGCAAGAGGUAAGUUUAGCAGAACAUUCUGGAAAGUAUAGCCAUAGAGGGUGAUAGUCCCGUAUGCGAAAAACAAACCUUAGCUAGCAGUAUCCUGAGUAGGGCGGGACACGAGGAAUCCUGUCUGAA